UACGAAUGGGGCUAGCGUUGCUCGGAAUUACUGGGCGUAAAGCGCACGUAGGCGGCUUCUUAAGUCGGUGGUGAAAUCCUGGAGCUCAACUCCAGAACUGCCUUCGAUACUGGGAAGCUCGAGUCCGGGAGAGGUGAGUGGAACUGCGAGUGUAGAGGUGAAAUUCGUAGAUAUUCGCAAGAACACCAGUGGCGAAGGCGGCUCACUGGCCCGGUACUGACGCUGAGGUGCGAAAGCGUCGGGAGCAAACAGG
rnacentral:rRNA from 1 species